UACGAAGGGGGCGAGCGUUGUUCGGAAUCACUGGGCGUAAAGGGCGCGUAGGCGGCCCUCCUUGUCGCGUGUGAAAGCCCCGGGCUCAACCUGGGAACGGCGCGCGAGACGGGGGGGCUGGAGUUCGGGAGAGGAGCGUGGAAUUCCCAGUGUAGAGGUGAAAUUCGUAGAUAUUCGGAAGAACACCAGUGGCGAAGGCGACUUACUGGACACAUAUUGACGCUGAGGUGCGAAAGCGUGGGGAGCAAACCGG
rnacentral:rRNA from 1 species